rnacentral:lncRNA from 1 species
CUGAGCCAUCUCUCCAGUCCCAGAUAACAGAUUUUAAGUUACAUGGGGAAGUUCUCUCAGUGAGACCUUCAUUCAGGAGGUAUUCUGUGGUACUAAAUCAGGUGAUCUUUUAUUCAUGUUGUACAUAGGGACUUCAUCUGCAACAUCCUCACCAUUAAAAAAAGAACAGCCCUUAUUUACUCUAAGGCAGGUUGGGAUGAUCUGUGAACGUUUGUUGAAAGAACGGGAAGAGAAGGUUCGAGAAGAAUAUGAAGAAAUACUGAACACAAAACUUGCAGAACAAUACGAUGCAUUUGUGAAGUUUACGCAUGAUCAGAUAAUGCGGCGAUAUGGAGAACAGCCUGCUAGUUAUGUUUCAUGAAUCACGCUUUUUGCAUUUGUGGGCUGCCUUGUUCCUUGUUGAGUUGUUGCAGGAGGUCCCAGCUGUGACAUACAGCAAUGCCAGCGCCCAUCUGUGAACCAGGUUACUUCAAGCUUUCGUCAGUGGCAACCACUCUUAGGCAGCAGCAAUUGGUUUUGGAAAUUUCCGUGAUGUCAUUACCACCCGGAUGUGGACCUUUGCUACUUGUAUUAAUACCAGUGGCCUCGUUUUGCUGUAUCAUUACAAUUUGGCUUCUUUAUAUUAAUGUUUGAAAGGGAUUAAAGCUGGCAUUCUAGAACAUGCCCUUCACUGGUUAUGUAAAUAAAACUGUAGAAUGACACGUCAGAUGAAGUUAGUGUGAUUUUAAUUGUGCACUACAACCAAGCUGUAACCAGUUAUUAAUAACUUAGAAUGUAAUCCCAGGACAUUUAAGCAGUUAGUCUACAGUACUUCAGUGAGAUGGAGGAAGAGGAGGAGGAGGGCAUUUCUGUAUUUCAGGACUUUUCUUGGGGUUUCAGAAUGGGUUUAUAUGAUUUCCUUUAUUAUUUUUUGGUAGUUUUAUUUAUUCUAUCAGUCUUUUUAACAAAUGUUUAUUGCUGCACCCCUCCCCCAGUGUAUUAUUGUUUUACUGCCCUUGUAGCACUGGAGUUUAGUUGGAAAAAUAAAACAUUUACUUCUAUUCUGCCUGUUUUCAAAUUGUACACAUGGGUAGUAUUGGAAUAAAGUAGUGUUUUUAAACGUAAGGAUUUUCUAGAAAUCAAUGAAGUUAAUUUCUGGUAGUAUUUGCCUUUUAAAUGCUGUUGUCAGAAAUUAAGUUCUGAUUCAGAACUGCUUCUGUAACUUGCUGUAUAACAGCAUAACAAGUUCUAAAACAGCUGUACAACUUCACCUUUGAAGCCAGUUUUGAUGGUUUGAAUGAUGUGAUAUUUGAAAGCACGGUUGUUCUGGUUGAUGUGAUAAAGUAACUGCAAAAAGCAGUUUAGGGUAUUAAGUGUUUAUUUUAACUCAAAAUUCCACAUUGCAGUCUAUCACUGUGGGGAAAUCAACAGGAACUUGAAGCCACAAGUAAGAGCAGAGAGAGAAGCAAUAAAUGCAUACUACUGAGUUUAGUGGAUAGCUCCACUCAUUUUCUGGUUGGCUGUCUUCCUAAUUGGUUAAGGCAGUUCAGUCACCCACAGACACACCCACAGGCUAACCUGAUCUAGAUGAGCCUUCUUGGAAUUUAGGAAGUCAUAGGUACUGCUGAGAUGACAGAACUAACAUAAGGGCUGGAGAGAGGCUCAGUAGUUAAGAGCUCUGCUUUUUCAGAAGACCCUGGUUUGGUUCCCAGAACCUACAACAGCUCACCAACUAAUGCUUUUUUCUGAGCUCUGCGGUCUCCAGGAUACACAUAGUACACACAUAUAUACUCGGGCAAGCACACAUACAUAAAACAUUAAAUAAUAUUUUCAAAACACUACCAUCACAGUGAAUGAAUUAAAUGUAACGCACUUAGCACAAAUGGUUUCCCAACAAGGCCUUUUUUACAAAGUAGUGAGAAAACUGAAAGUGCUAGUCACACACUUGUAACCUUGAUGUCAGGAUUAGGGGUUAAAGGCCACCCCCUCAUUACUGCUCCAUGAAUCCUUUUGAG